GGUAAUACAUAAAGCUAUAAAGCUUCUGAACAGCACAGGAAACAAUCAGCAAUAUGAAGAGACAACCUACAGAAUGGAAGAAAAUAUUUGCAAACUACCCAUCUGACAAGGAA